UCCUUCAAAGACAUUGCUUAUCUAAUAAA
rnacentral:piRNA from 1 species